rnacentral:lncRNA from 1 species
AAAAUAAAUAACACUUUCUUUUCUGGAUUUUAAAUAAAUAACAAUUCCUUUUCUAGUUUUUAGAUAAAUAACCAUUCCUUUUUCUAAAUUUAAAUAAAUAAACCUUCCUUUUUAAAAAUUUAAAUAAAUAAUCCUUCCUUUUUUAAAAUAUAUAAAUAAAUAAACCUUACUUUUUAUUAGAUUUGAAUAAAUAACCAUUUCUUUUUUAAAAUUUGAAUAAAUAACAAUUUCUUUUUUUUAAAUUUGAAUAAAUAACAAUUUCUUUUUCUUAAUUUAAAUAAAUAAACCUUCUUUUUUCUAAAUUUGAAAUAAUGACCCCUUUUUUUUUGUGUGCUGGUGGUGUUACCACAGGUUUGUGUAUGCGUCUAGUGUGGUUGGGAGUCAUAGACUCUUACACUGCCGCUGGAUAGCUUAUAUUCAUAGGUGAAAAGAAAGCUGAGUGCGUAAGUCUUUCCUUCCAGUACAUAGCCUCUACACUAACAAGACUUCUACAGUGCCUCCCCGUGACAGCACAUGGUAACUAGGAUCUAGUGUCCUAGGCUUUACUGUAGAGGAUCUCGGAGUAGCAAGGUCCCUAGAGAUAAAGUGUGUAGGCUGAUCGACAUGCGGACAUCCCUACACUCAUCAACCUUGCCCCAGUUAUGGGUUAAAUAGCCCGCUGGAUGAUGGUCAUCAGCCUUCAAAGGAUGUCUAGGAGAAGAAAACUCUGAUAUGAAAUUUUUGGUAGAUUUGACUCUUCAGCCUUGGUCUGCAAUUGAUCUAAAUGAAAUAAAGCUUGAGUAAACAUUCUCUGGUUCUUCAGGUUUGGGAUUGAGAGAUAUGCCAACAACCUAUCCUUGUAAAAAGGAAGAAUGAUUAUAUACUGAUUAAUCUCCCAGAUGAGGAACAUCACAACUGGGUCUGCAUGAAGCUUUAACAUUCGAAAGACAAGGUAAAUAUGCAUAAGGUACAUGUAGUAGAUGUCUAGUCAUUUCAUUUCAGCAGCUAUGAUUUUGAUGUACAAGUUCGCAUUUUAGUGUAGAAAAGGGAGAAAUUUCUAAGGGAGAAAUCUGACACUAACCAGAAAACCAGAUUGAGUAACUAACCCAAUAAAAUAGAGAAUUUUAAAAACAUUGGUGCUCCUGAAAGAAAAGCAAGGGUACAGUUCCUGUUCCACAGGUCACAAUUAACAGUUAUGACCAAAAUACGUAUUACAUACAUUAUGUAAAUACUUUACAUUUAAUAUUAUACAUGUUAUAAAUGAAAAUGCUGUAUUUACUAUACUAAAAUAAAAUUCAAUGUAUUGAAAACUCACCACACUAUUCUCUCUCUCUCUUUCUCUUUCUAUAUAUCUUCCUCUCUCUCUUCCGGUGUUCAAACUGCUCUUCUUAUAUUUGAAUUUAAAAAAAAAAUUGCUUCCUAUUAUAGAAAGAUGUAUUGAUUAGAUAAUAUCUAUAGGUUUAUAUAUUAUAUAUUGCAAUAAUAUUUGUGUAUCAUCACAUACAUCUAAACAAUUACAUGUAUAUUCAUAGCAAUUUGAUAUUUACACCUGGCCCAUUGGACCUAUAUGUCACUUUAGCAAUAGUAUAUCUUAUUUAUCUGUAUUAACUGCUAUGAUUAGAUGUUGAUAAAAUUGACUAAAUUUCAUAUACAUGUAUAAAUAUCGAAAUAAGAUGUGGUAAUUAAUUGUCAAUGAGACAACUGACUCCACCAGAGACUAAAAGAUAUACAAGUUAACAACUAUUGGUCAACAUACGGCCUUCAAUAAGUGUUUUUACUACCAUCACAGUUCAAGGAUUCAUUUUUUUUUCAGUUAUCCUGGAUAUUUAUUGAAGUAAAAUCUAAGGAAAGUAGGACCUGGAUGUAAAAUAAUAUCAACUUUAAGGUAUGUAUGUUGACGGUAACAAAAAUCCUUGUUUCAAGGUAACAUUAAAGAUAAUGAACGGUUCUAGUUUAUUGCUUCUAUAAUAAUACAAUACCUAAUUACAGAUAUAGAAAUAUGAAGAUGUGGUAUGAUUGCAAUUUGGAAAACUCUCCAAAAAACCAAAUGACAUAUAAAUUAACAGCUAUAGGUCACAAUUCUGCCUUCAAAAAUGAGUAAAACCCAUACCACAUACAUGUUACGUUAGCUAUAAAUUGGCCAAAAAAUGAAAAUUGUAAAAAAAAUUCAGUCGAGAAAACAAACUGCCUAAUUCAUGUCCAAAAUAAUGAACAAAACAAAUAUGUUACACAGCAACAAACAUUAACCACUGAAUAACAGGCACAUACAGAGUGUGGCAGGGUUAAACUAGUUUGAAGGCAUAUUGUCCUUAUCCAUCAAAUCUUUGGUUGAAUGAAAAUUUUAAUCCAUGGUGCCUGAAAAAAAUUGACAUGUUUAUUUUAAACAAAUCUGAAGCAAAAUGUAAGUACAAUGGUGGCAUUUCAUACUUAAGAUGCCAUAAGAUUUGAUACAAUUCUGAACUGCUUUAUAUGAAGAAUUUCUUCAGCCUCUGUCUCCUGGUUACCCAAUAUAUGGAUAAAAUGUAAAUAUCUUCUGACAUCAACAUUAUAUAUAAUUUUUUGUGAAUUUUAGUUUACAUGUUUUGAAUGAAAUUUUAUUUUCUAUUUGUAGACAAAGCGUGCUUGUUAAUUUAAAAAUCAACUGAAGCAGAAGAAUGGAUUCUGUUGAUCUGAGGAACUUGGAAACACUUAUUGACAAAAAAAUAUGUAGUAAUACAAUUAUGUUUACUCUGAGAGAUAGAAAGAGGGGAGAGCCAGUUGUAAAGAUUUAUUCUUUUAAACCAGAUAUGUUGAUUACUUUCGAAUUUCAUAGGCCUACAGUUCCCCCUAAAUAGUCUUAAUUAAUACAUGUACUAGGUGUUUAAUGUAAGACUUUGAUGUGACUUGUGAGAACAACCAGCUGCCAUUGGUUAAAAUUUAUUUUUAUGCCCUUUUAGUUGGGGGGGGGGGGCAUAUUGUUUUACUCCUGUUCUAACUUCCUACUGUCCUAUUAUGAGUAAAUAAAUAUAAGAAGAUGUGAAAUGUUGACAAUGAGACAACUCUUCAUCCAAAUCACUACAGAUAAUUCCAGAUAACUACUCCUAGAGUUUAAUGAGUUAUCUCCCAUAUUUGAAGGUACUUUUGGUAACAGUAUUUCGUGAUAAGGCUGAUGCAAAUAGGAGACAACUCUUAAUUUUUUUUAUAAAAAGAUUUUAACUUGUUUUUGAAUUUAACAAACUGAGCAUAAGUUGUGAGAAAUGGAAACUAGCAGGCUGAGAUUUAGGGUUAAGGGGAGGGAAUACACUGCUUACAAUGCUUAUCUCUUCAUAUGAGCUAGUUUGUUCACUGCAUGGAAGGCCUGCAAUAAAUAAGAAUGUAUUGGUUUACUUAUAAUUGUUAUAUAUUUUAUGUUAGAUAUGCUAUAUCAGAUGUAAAUAAAGUAAGAUGACAGUAUUAUUUAGAGCUCUGAAUAAAAUCAGCUUGUAAACAUAAGUCUAGAUAAUGCAUUAAGUGGUUUGGUCUGACAUGGUGAUUUCAAAUUAUAUUUACGUCAUCAUCAUCAUCUCCAAAGUGUUUCCAUUCUCAAUUUUAUCUGAUAUUAAACGCCCCUUCCUCACAAUCAUGACUUCAUUUUUAAGUUUAAUGAGUUAUCUCCCAUAUUUGUAGGUACUUUUGGUAACAGUAUUUCAUGAUAAGGCUUAUGCAAAUAGGAGACAACUCUUAUUUUUUGUAGAAAAGAUUUUUUUAACUUGUUUAUGAAUUUAAUGGUAAAUCUUGUGACUUUGUAAAUUUUUU